GUGGUGGUCGUUUUGGUUCUGUGUGGUGUUUCACCAACUUCGGCCUAUGGCUCUGUCUGACGUCACCGAAGUGACGGAACGGAAAAGCGCGAGAAGCGGCUCGGUUCCCACCACGGAGAGGCGGGAGUGAGUCAACUGACAAGCGCUGGGGACAGUGGCGUCCUUGUCUUGCCUUUGUCGCUCCCGCCCCGCUCUUCCCUGGCUGGGCUGGCGGAGGCCUUGCUGAUGAACCUGACUGAGAGCUGCAGCACUGAGGCCUGAGGAACUUUAUUCAAUGAAUUGAGAUCAGUUUGCUCCCAGGCAGGGCAGACGAGGUGGUGGUCCAUCUCAGCCUGAAGGAUCCUUCCAUGGCUGUCAAUUUCUCACGGCCUUUCUCUUCCCUCAGGGUCCCCUGGCGAUGGCAGAAAUGGACCCUACACAGGGCCGUGUGGUCUUUGAGGACGUGGCCAUAUAUUUCUCCCAGGAGGAGUGGGGGCACCUUGAUGAGGCUCAGAGAUUGCUGUACCGUGAUGUGAUGCUGGAGAAUUUGGCCCUUUUGUCCUCACUAGGUUCUUGGCAUGGAGCUGAGG
rnacentral:lncRNA from 10 species